rnacentral:rRNA from 1 species
UACGAAGGGUGCAAGCGUUACUCGGAAUUACUGGGCGUAAAGCGUGCGUAGGUGGUUUUUUAAGUCCGUUGUGAAAGCCCUGGGCUCAACCUGGGAAUGGCAGUGGAUACUGGAAAGCUAGAGUGCGGUAGAGGGUAGUGGAAUUCCCGGUGUAGCAGUGAAAUGCGUAGAGAUUUGGAGGAACACCAGUGGCGAAGGCGACUUUCUGGUCUGUAACUGACACUGAGGCGCGAAAGCGUGGGGAGCAAACAGG